rnacentral:tRNA from 1 species
AGUUAAUGAACUUGAAUAAGUAUAUGUUUUGAAAACAUAAUAUAGGAAAAACUCCCUAUUAACUU